rnacentral:rRNA from 1 species
CAGUUCCUAACACAUGCAAGUCGAACGAGAUCCUUCGGGGUCUAGUGGCGCACGGGUGCGUAACGCGUGGGAAUCUGCCCUUGGGUUCGGAAUAACAGUGGGAAACUACUGCUAAUACCGGAUGAUGACGUUAAGUCCAAAGAUUUAUCGCCCAAGGAUGAGCCCGCGUAGGAUUAGCUAGUUGGUGGGGUAAAGGCCUACCAAGGCGACGAUCCUUAGCUGGUCUGAGAGGAUGAUCAGCCACACUGGGACUGAGACACGGCCCAGACUCCUACGGGAGGCAGCAGUGGGGAAUAUUGGACAAUGGGCGAAAGCCUGAUCCAGCAAUGCCGCGUGAGUGAUGAAGGCCCUAGGGUUGUAAAGCUCUUUUACCCGGGAUGAUAAUGACAGUACCGGGAGAAUAAGCUCCGGCUAACUCCGUGCCAGCAGCCGCGGUAAU